rnacentral:tRNA from 2 species
GCGAGUAUAGCUCAGAUGGUUAGAGCGCGUCACUGAUAAUGACGAGGUCCCAGGUUCGAGUCCUGGUACUCGCACAA